AGAGUUUGAUCAUGGCUCAGGACGAACGCUGGCGGCGUGCUUAAUACAUGCAAGUCGAGCGAGGUUACUGCAUCAGAUUCCUUCGGGAUGAAGAAGCUUUAACCUAGCGGCGGACGGGUGAGUAACGCGUGGGUAACCUGCCCUAGAGAUCGGGAUAACAGCGGGAAACUGCUGCUAAUACCGGAUGUCUCUACGAGAAGGCAUCUUUUAGUAGAGAAAGCGAUAGCGCUCUAGGAUGGGCCCGCGUCCCAUUAGCUAGUUGGUGAGGUAACGGCUCACCAAGGCGACGAUGGGUAGCCGGCCUGAGAGGGUGGACGGCCACACUGGGACUGAGACACGGCCCAGACUCCUAUGGGAGGCAGCAGUAGGGAAUAUUGCGCAAUGGAGGAAACUCUGACGCAGCGACGCCGCGUGAGCGAUGAAGGUUUUCGGAUCGUAAAGCUCUGUCCUUGGGGAAGAAGGUCUUCGGACUUGACGGUACCCAAGAAGAAAGCCCCGGCUAACUACGUGCCAGCAGCCGCGGUAAUACGUAGGGGGCAAGCGUUGUCCGGAAUUAUUGGGCGUAAAGGGUGCGUAGGCGGCCUUUUAAGUCAGAUGUGAAAGCCCGCGGCUUAACUGCGGGAUUGCAUUUGAAACUGGGAGGCUUGAGUAUCGGAGAGGGUAGUGGAAUUCCCAGUGUAGCGGUGAAAUGCGUAGAUAUUGGGAGGAACACCAGUGGCGAAGGCGACUGCCUGGACGAAAACUGACGCUGAGGCACGAAAGCUAGGGGAGCAAACAGGAUUAGAUACCCUGGUAGUCCUAGCCGUAAACGAUGGGUACUAGGUGUAGGAGGUUUCGAUACCUUCUGUGCCGCAGUUA
rnacentral:rRNA from 1 species